UACGUAGGGUGCAAGCGUUGUCCGGAAUUAUUGGGCGUAAAGAGCUCGUAGGCGGUCUGUCGCGUCGGCUGUGAAAUCCCGAGGCUCAACCUCGGGUCUGCAGUCGAUACGGGCAAACUAGAGUAUUGCAGGGGAGACUGGAAUUCCUGGUGUAGCGGUGAAAUGCGCAGAUAUCAGGAGGAACACCGGUGGCGAAGGCGGGUCUCUGGGCAACAACUGACGCUGAGGAGCGAAGCGUGGGGAGCGAACAGG
rnacentral:rRNA from 1 species